AUGCGCUCCAGUUUGGCGAAUCCACUGCGUAUGCUGGGUCGUGGCAGAGGUCGGACAGGAGUUGAGCACGGCGGCGCGUGGUCUGAGGUCGGGACCGCCGGCAUCGGAACCCUGUCGGGAUUGAGGUGCCACCCGUGUGGCAGGUUCACGUCGGGCCACGGCACCGACACGCGAUGCUCCCAGAAGUACUGGCAGCGGUGCACCGGCAUGCAUAGGCGAAAGCGUGGCCAUGGCUCAGCACCUGGCAGCGCCAUGGUGAAGUUGGCCGGGCGGCGUCACCUCGAUGAGCUGCCGGCCUUGUGGUCAUUCUUCCAGAACCCCAUGGUGGCAGCGACUAGGGCUGGGUUGUCGGGCGGAUGGGGGACAAGAGGAAGAAGAGGAUUGGGGAGGAAAGCAUUAAAAAGGACGGGCGUGGACUGGUUUUGUUGGAGGACGUGCGGGCCCGAGCGCACGCGUGGAAUUUAA
rnacentral:rRNA from 1 species